rnacentral:misc_RNA from 1 species
ACAAACUUGGUCAUUUAGAGGAAGUAAAAGUCGUAACAAGGUAACCGUAGGUGAACCUGCGGUUGGAUCAUUAUAGAAAAAAAAGUUUUAAAAGGGGGAGGAAUUUUAUAUUACCCCCCUUUUUAACAAACUGUUGAAAAUUAUUUAAAGUCUUUAAUGGGUUAAAACUCUUUUUUUAGUAGAGGAGGGCAUUUUAAGCAACCCAUUACUUUUUUAAACACAAUUUAAACUUUAUAAAAUAGUCAUUAUUUUUAAACAAAAUAAUUUAAACAACUUUUGACAACGGAUCUCUAGGCUCUCGCAUCGAUGAAGAACGCAGC